rnacentral:lncRNA from 1 species
CUGGAUUCCAUUCCGUCUUCCUUGAGGGCCCCACCCUCAUCCCGGCACGUGAUGACGUAGGACGUAAGGACGCCCCCCCCCGCCGGUAGCCAUCUUCGUGCAUAGGCAAACUUAUUGUAGCUAGACUGUACAAAGUAUAUCAAGAUAUGCCAAAUAUUGAGCUUAACUUCACCUGUUUGAGAGACGGUGUUUCUUUUAGCUUGCAACACCAUGAAAAAAUUACUGAGACACUAGGAAUGCUGUGAACUGAGAAAGUUUGGGACCUUUGGCAUAACUAAAUCCUUCAUUUAACAGUGUUGUGAACCACUUGUCAUGGGAUAACCAAAAUUAAACCUGGAAUCGCAGAAGAAACAAAUUUUUUGAAGAAAUUGGAUGUACUUUUUUAAAAUUUUUCAUUCAACUAAAACUUUGUUAACUGUUUCUUGGUUGUGGUCUUCUCUAAAUUGUAAUCUUUGGCAUUCACUUCCAAAGUAUCCACCACUAAACUUCAUAACAUUUAUUGUGUCUCUUCAUCAUUAAACUUUGAUGAAUUUACAGAGUGUCUUUUGAAAUUAUGUUCUUGAGAAAGGGGAUUGGACGGUGUCAUGGAAAUGUCAAAGAAAAAGUGACACCUGAGAGAAAAUUUGAAAGAUGAAAGAUGCACUAAAGAGGCCAAUCAGUCAUCCAGACAAGAAUUUACCUCAUGAGAGUCAACUGUGCGCAUCUCUUCCCAACAUUGUGAUUGGUUAUGUCAUGUUGAUAGCUUGAAAUUGGACAUAGUAUGUACAUUUACACCCCAGAAAUCUCAGGUACUACAAACUAAACCUUCCCUUCUCUCAUUCCCCAGUGCUGUUAAUACGGAAACUGGUCUAAUAUGGAAAACAGGUGAACAUGGAGCUGCUUUGUUUGACUCAGGGAUGAGAGAUACCCAGGUCCUAAUUACUUGUCUUUAACUUUCCUUAGGGAGUACUAAUUUGGGAGUCAUUGUUCUAAACAAUUAAAGUGAAGUAACUGUC